AGACCCCCAACACAAUGCGCCGCCACCCCCAAUUGCUCUUGCGCGUGCUGCGGUGCUGCCCCGACAGCUCCUCGCACGCGCCGUCCCAUCCUCGUUGAGCUAGCCGCGCGCUGCCCAUCCUCGUCGAGCACCGCCGCCGCCCUAUCCCCGCCGCCUUCCAACUCCUCUCAUGCGCGCUACCCUGACCACUCCUCGCCAUGGGCCGCCCCGUGCACUCCUCGCCUCACGCCUCCCCGUCCCUCCCCAUUCUCUCUGCUUCCCAUGCCAACCAAGAUUGACGCAGAAGGGGGCCUAGGAGAGCGGCCCUCCAGGUUUGCUCGCAGGAGGCUCCUGCGCUCACCUCGAAGCCGCUGGUCGCCUCCACCAGUCGCCACCGCCUCUCACCGACAAGGUUCGAUCUAGGGUUUCGCAGCCCACAGUGCCGCUGAAUCCUGAUGUCCCCAAGGUCCAGCGCCUCCUCCCUCGAGCCCAAUCUUGAAACCCCCCUCGAACCCUUUCUUUUGAUCCAUCUUGCUGGGAAGACGACAUCCACAGGUUGGGUCAACUGCUGGGUAGUCCACUCGCCUUCUGCCCCCAACCCGUGAAGGCCUUUGGUGGAUCUGCACGUUGCUGGCUCAAAGUUCUGGAUCUGCAAUCCCUUAGGCUUUGUAUCAAUUUUUUCCUCAAUCUUGAUGAAAUCUGCAGUAAAAAAAAAUUGGGAUGCUGUCUGAACUGCACUUAACCAUGUGUGCGGUAGUCACUGUGAACAUUAUAACUAUUAUUUAGAUGCUAUAUCUUAAUUUGUUUAUUCUCUAAUCUGUGAACAUCAUAACUAUUAUUGAGAUGCCAUAUCUUAAUUUAUUUAUUCAAAAUCGGUGAACAUGAUAGCUUAUUAUUGAUAUAAAUUCAUGCUCAGAUUUAGUUGCAUUGUGAUAGUUCAGGAUUUGAUGGUGUCAAUGUCAAUAGACUAAAGAUGGUUUAUGAUUUGAUUUUGAUGACUGGUAUCUGUUUAACCAUGCCAUUUUCUACUAAUUCUGUUGACAUGAGGUCGACAAGUUUUCAUGUUCCACCAAUUAUCUAGGUGCAGAAAAGUUACAGUUCAAUUAAUCUCCUUGAUUGCAUUGCAAUUUACAGUUAGCUUUUAUUUAUUUUUUUGCAGAUUUGCCUUAAUAGUUUGGUAAAGGACACAAAUUUUAUCUUGCCCUCCUGAUUUUUCUGAAUGUACAGCAACUUUUGGUGAAGGAAUGAAGAAAAGUAAUGCAGAUAUAUAUGAGAAGAUAGGACCAACGCAUAAGGUUAUUGUAAUCUGUCCUCUGUGAUAUCUUUUUCUUUCCAUGGAGAUGCUAUUUGUUUACUAAAAUGUCUCCUAGGAAUUGGGCAGGAUUUGUUCCAAGAAGCUUGGGUAGUGUUGUUCUCCAUAAAGUAAUUGAGGUCCGAGAGUAAAUUAGUCUUAUAAUUUCUUCAGUAUAUAACCUAACAUAUUGAAAAAGUAUGAGAGGUAGCUCAUUAUCUUCUCCAAGUCAACUUGUAUAUUUUUGUCUAUUUCUAUUACUAGACUACAUCUGUGUAGUUGAGAGGCUGCUUAUCCUGAUGAGUUUGAUGAUGGAUUUUGAGUGCUGAAACAGAGAUUUGCACUCCUGCUGAUGGAUUCUUUUGUAUCCUGCACACUUGCUGUACUUCUGUGUUGUCCUGCACUCCUAUUUAGCUUUGGUGUAGUUGACUUAAUUAUUUUGCUCUAGAGUUCUGUACUUCAGUCUAAGUUUGUGGAGUAUUUGAGUUGAGACAGACUUAUGAGUACUAUUCGCACAAUAUAUUUGCAUAAGCUACAUAAGUCUUUGGCCAACAAUCCUAUCCUUUGCCUUUGCCUUCUACAGAUGGAAUCUGUCAUUGUCACAGGGCUCUCUUGCACUUUAUUUCUUGUUGUUAACACCUUACUAUUUACUUUGCAGAUAUCAAGUGACAAACUCUUGAGGCUGGAAACCAGUUAGCUGUUCAGAAAUGAUUACUGCAUAUAGUAUACCUCACUGAAAGCAUAUAGUGUACCUUACUGUUUAUUUCACAAUGUCAUUCCUUUUCCAUAUGUAGUGCAGAACUCUCUUAGCAAAUGUUAUCUUGACUCUUGGCAUGUAUGGAUGAUAUGCUGUAUAUAUGUUGUAUGGAUCACUCGUUGAAUUGAAUGUUUGUUUAGAAUUAUAUUGGGACCUUGUUAUGAAUGAAUGUAAUCAUUGUACAAUUAAAUUGCAA